UCCCGCUUUCGCCUACGGGCAUAUGGUCAAACAGAAACGAUACAGAGAAGAUUAGCAUGGCCCCUGCAUUAAGGAUGACACGCAUAAUUAAGAGACGCUACAGCUUUUU
rnacentral:snRNA from 1 species